GUGUGCUGGAAAUAUUCUGUGUAUUUGUGUGGGUGUGGGUGUGGGUUGAAUCUUUUGCAGGUGAAACAAGAACCUACCAGGGGGGACCACUUUGGUAGGGCCGGGAGUUAGAGGAAAGAGAUAAAAGAAAGGAAGCUACAGAGGGAAGGGGUAUGGAACUUUGAGGAAGGAAAUCUGCAUUACUCCUUGAGAGAGGGAAAGCAGAGGGUCCAAGUUCAUCUUUGAAUUGUUCUUGAGUCUUUUAUUUGGUUGCUAUUAGUUUGAGUAAUUUUUGCUUUGAAUCUGUAAUCGCGAUCAAUACUCUAUUGAUCCACGAAGAGUCUCAAUAAUUUGUGUAAGUUUUCAUAUUAUAUCAACAUAUACGAACACUGCUGUGGUGUUCUAUCAUAAUUAUGAGAUACUGAGCUUCGUUUAAGAUCCUUCACUGUGGCCAAACCGAGUUUGUGAGUUGAACCUUUCAUGUAUUUAUGAGAAAUGUUUCUCUAUCUAUUUGAAGUCUGUUUGAUGGAGCAUUUGGUUGGGAAGAGAUGACUAACUUUUAGUGGAAAGGCGAAGGACUGGUGAAGCCCUGAAGGGGUGUUGAAGUUGGCUGAAGUUUAUGUGUUGAAUUGAAUUUCUUUAAGAGAGUGGGUUUUUUUUUUUUUUUUGUAGCUUGAUUUUUAAAUUUGAAUUAUGUUUAUUAUACUAUAAUUAUUUAUAAACCCUAAACCCUAAUAGCAUUUUAGUAUCACGAAGUUGGAUUAUUUUGUUGCAGAUGGAAUUUGUGUCUAGAGCAUUGAGCAUCCUGGUUGCGUUUGGGAUGCCAAGUUUUUGGAAAAUGGAGAUAUUGUCACAGCUUGUUUAGAUGGAGUAGUACGUGUCUGGACGGCAGAACAGGAAAGAAUUGUUGAUCCCCAAGAAUUGGAGUUAUUUGCUUCAAGACUGUCUCAGUAUAAGUUGAAUAGGAAGAGGGUUGGAGGAUUGAAAUUGGAAGAAUUAUCUGGGAUGGAUGCUUUACAAAUUCCAGGAAGAGGGUUGGAGGAUUGAAAUUGGAAGAAUUACCUGGGAUGGAUGCUUUACAAAUUCCAGGCUGUACUGGAGCUUGUCAUAAUCUUCCCACGUUGCCUCAUGAGGAGGGAGACCUUGCCAUUUAAUCAAAACCUCACAGCUUCCUCUUUUAUUCUUCGAGUACCCAGAUAUUUCCUCCGGUAUAGAUUUCCACUCAUGAGUUUCAGUAACGUAAGGCAGCAUGUCUGUCUGUACAAGUUGAUGAUCACCAACCAUUUUUUUGAGUUGGGACACAUGAAACACUGGAUGGAUGGAAGCGGAUGCUGGCAACUCUAGCUUAUACGCAACCAGUAUGAUGCGUUCCACAAUCGUAUAAGGCCCAAAGAAC